UUGUUUGGCUGAUGAGAUUCUGGAAAAUAUCUAACAAGGACGAAAUUGGGAAUUCAAAUGUCUUUGAAUCCGUACAUAAAAGCUUGCAGAUGCUGCAGAAGAUAAAUUUCUAAAAUAGUAAAUAAAACAAACUCAAUUUACCCAUGUAACUAUCAUCCAUUAAACAAAAUGAAAUCAAAUUUCAAUAACUGGGAAUCCCACAAAUUUAUAUAGAAACACAAAGAUGAAAUCUAGUAUCUACAGUUUGAACACUUCAAAAUUUGGGAACAUUUUUGAGAGACUGAGAAAGAAUUG
rnacentral:lncRNA from 1 species